CUGAUUUAUAUGUCUACACUUCGCACGGGAUGAGUGCUAAAGAAUAGAAGAAACGUUUAGUUUUGUUCAAAAAAAUCCGCCGUAUGUUCCCAAAGAGAAUAAAUGAGGUAAACGAAGUGUAUCGAAAGCGAGAGGGGUUGCCAGACUGUUAAGAGUCCAGUGUGAAAAAAACACUUUGGACAGAACAAUUCCUGCGUGGAGUGAGUGAAGUGAGAGUGCACAAAAAAGUAUAGACUUGGCCUUGGGGAUUCCCAUAGAGAGAUGGGAAGAGUGGAGCAGAGACAAAUACAAAUGAAGAAAGAAAACAGACGAGUACUGGAGGUGGAGAAAGAAUCAGACCGAAGUACAAGCCGCCAGGAGGAGGAGGAGGAAGAGACCGAAAGGGAGGCAGGAAGAGGACACGUUUCCAUAACUUACGCCUUACUUACAUUUUAAAUAAUGCUGGAGGACGCCCUUGACUAAUGGUUUUUGUAGUAAGUAAAAGACGUCCCCGCCCUUCAUUUAUUAUCAUUAUAGUAAAAUAUUUUAUGUUUUUAUUCUACAUUUAUGACAAUAAAGGAAUUCAUUCAUGGCAAUAAACUAUUA